UCAGAGGCGAUGAAGGACGUGCUAAUCUGCGAAAAGCGUCGGUAAGGUGAUAUGAACCGUUAUAACCGGCGAUGUCCGAAUGGGGAAACCCAGUGUGAUUCGUCACACUAUCGUUAACUGAAUACAUAGGUUAACGAGGCGAACCGGGGGAACUGAAACAUCUAAGUACCCCGAGGAAAAGAAAUCAACCGAGAUUCCCCCAGUAGCGGCGAGCGAACGGGGAGCAGCCCAGAGUCUGAAUCAGCUUGUGUGUUAGUGGAACGGUCUGGAAAGUCCGACGGUACAGGGUGAUAGUCCCGUACACCAAAAUGCACAGGCUGUGAACUCGAAGAGUAGGGCGGGACACGUGGUAUCCUGUCUGAAUAUGGGGGGACCAUCCUCCAAGGCUAAAUACUCCUGACUGACCGAUAGUGAACCAGUACCGUGAGGGAAAGGCGAAAAGAACCCCGGCGAGGGGAGUGAAAAAGAACCUGAAACCGUGUACGUACAAGCAGUGGGAGCACCUUCGGGUGUGACUGCGUACCUUUUGUAUAAUGGGUCAGCGACUUAUAUUCUGUAGCAAGGUUAACCGUAUAGGGGAGCCGCAGGGAAACCGAGUCUUAACUGGGCGUUAAGUUGCAGGGUAUAGACCCGAAACCCGGUGAUCUAGCCAUGGGCAGGUUGAAGGUUGGGUAACACUAACUGGAGGACCGAACCGACUAAUGUUGAAAAAUUAGCGGAUGACUUGUGGCUGGGGGUGAAAGGCCAAUCAAACCGGGAGAUAGCUGGUUCUCCCCGAAAGCUAUUUAGGUAGCGCCUCGUGAAUUCAUCUUCGGGGGUAGAGCACUGUUUCGGCUAGGGGGUCAUCCCGACUUACCAACCCGAUGCAAACUACGAAUACCGAAGAAUGUUAUCACGGGAGACACACGGCGGGUGCUAACGUCCGUCGUGAAGAGGGAAACAACCCAGACCGCCAGCUAAGGUCCCAAAGUCAUGGUUAAGUGGGAAACGAUGUGGGAAGGCACAGACAGCCAGGAUGUUGGCUUAGAAGCAGCCAUCAUUUAAAGAAAGCGUAAUAGCUCACUGGUCGAGUCGGCCUGCGCGGAAGAUGUAACGGGGCUAAACCAUGCACCGAAGCUGCGGCAGCGACACUAUGUGUUGUUGGGUAGGGGAGCGUUCUGUAAGCCUGCGAAGGUGACCUGUGAGGCAUGCUGGAGGUAUCAGAAGUGCGAAUGCUGACAUAAGUAACGAUAAAGCGGGUGAAAAGCCCGCUCGCCGGAAGACCAAGGGUUCCUGUCCAACGUUAAUCGGGGCAGGGUGAGUCGACCCCUAAGGCGAGGCCGAAAGGCGUAGUCGAUGGGAAACAGGUUAAUAUUCCUGUACUUGGUGUUACUGCGAAGGGGGGACGGAGAAGGCUAUGUUAGCCGGGCGACGGUUGUCCCGGUUUAAGCAUGUAGGCUGAUUGUCCAGGCAAAUCCGGAUAAUCAAGGCUGAGGUGUGAUGACGAGGCACUACGGUGCUGAAGUAACAAAUGCCCUGCUUCCAGGAAAAGCCUCUAAGCAUCAGGUAACAUCAAAUCGUACCCCAAACCGACACAGGUGGUCAGGUAGAGAAUACCAAGGCGCUUGAGAGAACUCGGGUGAAGGAACUAGGCAAAAUGGUGCCGUAACUUCGGGAGAAGGCACGCUGGUGUGUAGGUGAAGUCCCUGCGGAUGGAGCUGAGACCAGUCGAAGAUACCAGCUGGCUGCAACUGUUUAUUAAAAACACAGCACUGUGCAAACACGAAAGUGGACGUAUACGGUGUGACGCCUGCCCGGUGCCGGAAGGUUAAUUGAUGGGGUUAUCCGUAAGGAGAAGCUCUUGAUCGAAGCCCCGGUAAACGGCGGCCGUAACUAUAACGGUCCUAAGGUAGCGAAAUUCCUUGUCGGGUAAGUUCCGACCUGCACGAAUGGCGUAAUGAUGGCCAGGCUGUCUCCACCCGAGACUCAGUGAAAUUGAACUCGCUGUGAAGAUGCAGUGUACCCGCGGCAAGACGGAAAGACCCCGUGAACCUUUACUAUAGCUUGACACUGAACAUUGAGCCUUGAUGUGUAGGAUAGGUGGGAGGCUUUGAAGCGUGGACGCCAGUCUGCGUGGAGCCAACCUUGAAAUACCACCCUUUAAUGUUUGAUGUUCUAACGUUGGCCCCUUACCGGGGUUGCGGACAGUGUCUGGUGGGUAGUUUGACUGGGGCGGUCUCCUCCCAAAGCGUAACGGAGGAGCACGAAGGUUAGCUAAUCCUGGUCGGACAUCAGGAGGUUAGUGCAAUGGCAUAAGCUAGCUUGACUGCGAGCGUGACGGCGCGAGCAGGUGCGAAAGCAGGUCAUAGUGAUCCGGUGGUUCUGAAUGGAAGGGCCAUCGCUCAACGGAUAAAAGGUACUCCGGGGAUAACAGGCUGAUACCGCCCAAGAGUUCAUAUCGACGGCGGUGUUUGGCACCUCGAUGUCGGCUCAUCACAUCCUGGGGCUGAAGUAGGUCCCAAGGGUAUGGCUGUUCGCCAUUUAAAGUGGUACGCGAGCUGGGUUUAGAACGUCGUGAGACAGUUCGGUCCCUAUCUGCCGUGGGCGCUGGAGAAUUGAGGGGGGCUGCUCCUAGUACGAGAGGACCGGAGUGGACGCAUCACUGGUGUUCGGGUUGUCAUGCCAAUGGCACUGCCCGGUAGCUAAAUGCGGAAGAGAUAAGUGCUGAAAGCAUCUAAGCACGAAACUUGCCCCGAGAUGAGUUCUCCCUGAGACUUUAAGUCUCCUGAAGGAACGUUAAAGACGAUGACGUUGAUAGGCCGGGUGUGUAAGCGCAGCGAUGCGUUGAGCUAACCGGUACUAAUGAACCGUGAGGCUUAACCUU
rnacentral:rRNA from 1 species